rnacentral:rRNA from 1 species
AUGUCGCUGGGGAAUAUGUUCCGACCAGGUGAAAAUGGGCAAAUGGACCUUUAUGCCCCCAGUUCAAACUUUGAAUCUGUCCGUCAUCUUCCUCAGCGUCUUCCACCUCCGCCUCCGCCCCGGCACUCCACCUCCGCCUCCGCGGCUCUGCCACCCGCCCUCCACCUCCGCCCCGGCACUCCACCUCCGCCUCCGCGGCUCCGCCACCUGCCCUCCACCCCCGCGCUCCUCUCCCACGCCAGGGGCUCCUCCCGGCCCCCGCGCGCCCAGGUGGUGCUCUGCUGCCGCCCGCUGGUGGAGACGAGGUGCUGA